rnacentral:rRNA from 1 species
ACUCCUACGGGAGGCAGCAGUGGGGAAUUUUGGACAAUGGGCGAAAGCCUGAUCCAGCAAUGCCGCGUGAGUGAAGAAGGCCUUCGGGUUGUAAAGCUCUUUUGUCAGGGAAGAAACGGUGAGAGCUAAUAUCUCUUGCUAAUGACGGUACCUGAAGAAUAAGCACCGGCUAACUACGUGCCAGCAGCCGCGGUAAUACGUAGGGUGCAAGCGUUAAUCGGAAUUACUGGGCGUAAAGCGUGCGCAGGCGGUUUUGUAAGUCUGAUGUGAAAUCCCCGGGCUCAACCUGGGAAUUGCAUUGGAGACUGCAAGGCUAGAAUCUGGCAGAGGGGGGUAGAAUUCCACGUGUAGCAGUGAAAUGCGUAGAUAUGUGGAGGAACACCGAUGGCGAAGGCAGCCCCCUGGGUCAAGAUUGACGCUCAUGCACGAAAGCGUGGGGAGCAAACAGGAUUAGAAACCCUAGUAGUCCCAUGA